UACGAGGGGGGCAAGCGUUGUUCGGAAUUAUUGGGCGUAAAGGGCGCGUAGGCGGUGCGGUAAGACUGUGGUGAAAUCUUCGGGCUCAACUCGAAGCCUGCCGCGGUGACUGCCGUGCUCGAGUGUGGGAGAGGUGAGUGGAAUUCCCGGUGUAGCGGUGAAAUGCGUAGAUAUCUGGAGGAACACCGGUGGCGAAGGCGGCAUCCUGGACCAAUUCUGACGCUGAGGAGCGAAAGCCAGGGGAGCAAACGGG
rnacentral:rRNA from 1 species